GGCAGGCUUACACAUGCAAGUCGAACGCCCGUAGCAAUACGGGAGUGGCAGACGGGAGAGUAACACGUGGGAACGUGCCCUUCAGUUCGGAACAACCCAGGGAAACUUGGGCUAAUACCGGAUACGUCCGUAAGGAGAAAGAUUUAUCGCUGAAGGAUCGGCCCGCGUCUGAUUAGCUAGUUGGUGGGGUAAUGGCUCACCAAGGCGACGAUCAGUAGCUGGUCUGAGAGGAUGAUCAGCCUCACUGGGACUGAGACACGGCCCAGACUCCUACGGGAGGCAGCAGUGGGGAAUCUUGGACAAUGGGCGCAAGCCUGAUCCAGCCAUGCCGCGUGGGUGAUGAAGGCCCUAGGGUUGUAAAGCCCUUUCGGCGGGGAAGAUAAUGACGGUACCCGCAGAAGAAGCCCCGGCUAACUUCGUGCCAGCAGCCGCGGUAAUACGAAGGGGGCUAGCGUUGCUCGGAGUCACUGGGCGUAUAGCGCACGUACGCGGAUUGCUAA
rnacentral:rRNA from 1 species